CAGACGAUGCGUCAUGCAUAUCAAUAAGCGGAGGAAAAGAAACUAACAAGGAUUCCCCUAGUAACGGCGAGUGAAGCGGGAAGAGCUCAAAUUUGAAAUCUUAAAGGGUUUCCCUUUACGAAUUGUAGUUUAAAGAAGUGUUUUCUGUUGAGGUUUUGGUAAAAGUUCUUUGGAAUAGGACAUCAUAGAGGGUGAGAAUCCCGUAUUUGACCUUUACUUUCAACUUUGUGAUACACUUUCAAAGAGUCGGAUUGUUUGGGAAUGCAGUCCAAAAUGGGUGGUAAAUUUCAUCUAAAGCUAAAUAUUGGCGAGAGACCGAUAGCGAACAAGUACCGUGAGGGAAAGAUGAAAAGAACUUUGAAAAGAGAGUUAAACAGUACGUGAAAUUGUCAAAAGGGAAGCGUUUGACACCAGUGUUGUUUUUCUGAAAAUCAAUUAAAGAACUGUUUAUGCUAAGCUGUUUAGACUUUAUCAGCUAUCUGUUUAGUUUUGAGCUUUUCUUUAAUGCACUUUUCAGUUAACAAGUCAACAUCAAUUUCUUUUGCUGUAAAAAAGCUUGAGGAAGGUGGCUUGAGAUCCGUCUUAAGUGUUUAUAGCCUCUUGCCUAUGCAGUCGGAGAGAUUGAGGUCUGCAGCGUAGAUCCUUCGGGGCUAAAUGCAUUUGUGCUAAGUUAUAGCAUUUUAUAGACAACUUGUUGACUAUGAUUUGUCUUGUAGCUUACUCGCUUAUGUUAUUUUACCUACGCUUAGGAUGUUGAGCGCAUGUCUCUCUCU
rnacentral:rRNA from 1 species